CACCGGCAGAUUGCAGGCUCCAAAACUCCGCCCUUCGCGAUUCUUCCCCGCCCCUCGGCGUCCAGACAGACAGACAGACGACCUGCCCCGCGCCCUGCGCCACCGACUGACUCAGUGACCUCAGGGUCGUUAGGCCUCCACGUCCUCGCUGGAGCUGCGGACCUCAGUCGUUCAUCCACACCUCCCCCCUGCCGCCCCCACCCAUCUCACUCUCCCAACCCUGGGCACCAGGGCAGGUCGACAGCCCGAGGCACUCCUCUACUGCGUUUCCAGGCCCAGGAGACCCACUCCAGCGCCGCGGUUCCUUGCGACCCGGCAGCCGUUCAACAGACCUCCCAUUCUUUCCUGCAUCAUCGGGCAUUGUGGAGGCACCCUACGGUGAUUCCUCUCAGAGCCUGUUUGUAGGUGACCGUGACAGAGACAAAACCAUGGAAGUGACUGGGUUUGGAGUGACCAGGUGUUCCUCCCUCCCCUUUCCCAGACACGCCUCUUGCUGUAGGUCUCUGGUUAAGUCUCUCUCUCUCAUUCCCUUCCUGGGAGACAGUAGCUCCCUAGGCCUGCAAUGAGGGAGGCUGGCUUGGGGAAGGAGAAGGGAAUUGGGCGUCUUUGAAGACCUGUGGGCAGAGGGAGGGAGGGAGGGUGUUUGUCCUGGGUGGGGCUCUGGGCCAGGUCCUCUGGGUAGCUGUGAAGUGGUGAAAGAAGGGGUGAGAACGCUGGACUUCUGGACUUUGGGCAGGGCAGAUCCUCUGACUCUCUGGCUGCAGAACAGUUUCUUCCGGGCUCUGGCCUGAGUGCCACAGCCAGGGCCUCUGCUCUGUACACAGACCGGGCAAGGUCCCCCAGGCCAGGAUGUCAGGCCUGGUGUUGGGGCAGCGGGAUGAGCCUGCAGGCCACCGGCUCAGCCAAGAGGAGAUCCUGGGGAGCACACGGCUGGUCAGCCAAGGGCUAGAGGCCCUACGCAGUGAACACCAGGCCGUGCUGCAAAGCCUGUCCCAGACCAUUGAGUGUCUGCAGCAGGGAGGCCAUGAGGAAGGGCUGGUGCAUGAGAAGGCCCGGCAGCUUCGCCGUUCUAUGGAAAACAUUGAGCUCGGGCUGAGUGAGGCCCAGGUGAUGCUGGCUCUAGCCAGCCACCUGAGCACAGUGGAGUCGGAGAAACAGAAGCUGCGGGCUCAGGUGCGGCGGCUAUGCCAGGAGAACCAGUGGCUGCGGGAUGAGCUGGCUGGCACCCAGCAGCGGCUACAGCGCAGUGAACAGGCUGUGGCUCAGUUGGAGGAGGAAAAGAAGCACCUGGAGUUCCUGGGGCAGCUGCGGCAGUAUGAUGAGGAUGGACAUACCUCGGAGGAGAAAGAAGGCGAUGCCACCAAGGAUUCCCUGGAUGACCUCUUUCCUAACGAGGAGGAAGAGGACCCCAGCAAUGGCUUGUCCCGUGGUCAAGGUGCUACAGCAGCUCAGCAGGGUGGAUAUGAGAUCCCAGCAAGGUUGCGGACGUUGCACAACCUGGUGAUCCAGUACGCAGCCCAAGGUCGCUAUGAGGUGGCCGUGCCACUCUGUAAGCAGGCACUAGAGGACCUGGAGCGCACAUCAGGCCGUGGCCACCCUGAUGUCGCCACCAUGCUCAACAUCCUUGCUUUGGUGUAUCGUGACCAGAAUAAGUAUAAGGAAGCUGCCCACCUGCUGAAUGAUGCCCUUAGCAUCCGGGAGAGCACCUUGGGACCUGACCAUCCUGCUGUGGCUGCCACACUCAACAAUUUGGCUGUGCUCUAUGGCAAAAGGGGCAAGUACAAGGAGGCAGAGCCUCUGUGCCAGCGGGCACUGGAGAUUCGAGAAAAGGUCCUGGGCACGAAUCAUCCAGAUGUGGCAAAACAGCUGAACAACCUGGCCCUCUUGUGCCAAAACCAGGGCAAGUAUGAGGCCGUGGAACGCUACUACCAGCGAGCACUGGCCAUCUACGAGGGGCAGCUGGGGCCGGACAACCCUAAUGUAGCCCGGACCAAGAACAACCUGGCUUCCUGUUACCUGAAACAGGGCAAAUAUGCUGAGGCUGAGACACUAUACAAAGAGAUCCUGACCCGUGCCCAUGUACAGGAGUUUGGGUCUGUGGAUGAUGACCACAAGCCCAUCUGGAUGCAUGCAGAGGAGCGGGAGGAAAUGAGCAAAAGCCGGCACCAUGAGGGUGGGACACCCUAUGCUGAGUAUGGAGGCUGGUACAAGGCCUGCAAAGUGAGCAGCCCCACAGUGAACACUACUCUGAGAAACCUGGGAGCUCUGUAUAGGCGCCAGGGAAAGCUGGAGGCCGCUGAGACCCUGGAGGAAUGUGCCCUGCGGUCCCGGAGACAGUGGCUGAUGGUGAAAAAAAUUUGAAAGCCCCAUCCUGAGGAGUUAAGGAGUAGGAAGUCCCAGGUCCUUCCUUUUCCUUCCAGGGCACUGACCCUAUCAGCCAGACCAAGGUGGCAGAGCUGCUUGGGGAGAGUGAUGGUAGAAGGACCUCCCAGGAGGGCCCUGGAGACAGUGUGAAAUUCGAGGGAGGUGAAGAUGCUUCCGUGGCUGUGGAGUGGUCCGGGGAUGGCAGUGGGACCCUGCAGAGGAGUGGCUCUCUUGGCAAGAUCCGGGAUGUGCUCCGCAGAAGCAGUGAACUCUUGGUGAGGAAGCUCCAGGGGACUGAGCCUCGGCCCUCCAGCAGCAACAUGAAGCGAGCAGCCUCCUUGAACUAUCUGAACCAACCUAGUGCAGCACCCCUCCAGGUCUCCCGGGGCCUCAGUGCCAGCACCAUGGACCUCUCUUCAAGCAGCUGACAUUCAACCCGGCCCCCAGGUCUGCUGGGUCCCCCCACCCCCACAGCCCUCACAGCAUUCCCCAUUGCUCCUGGCUCUUCCCCACCCCUAGGUGGGACAGUGAAGGGGAGCAGUUUAACCAGAAGAUUGCUGCUGCCCUUAGGGUCUCAGCUCCCUCCUCAGGAAUCCCUCUUAGGAAGGACCCUCAGGACACCCUCUCUGCACCCUGUGGUCCUCUAGAGUAGCUAGCUCUGAGGCCCCAAGGUGGGUACAAAGCAGGUAUGGCCUUCAGAGAUGCAGCCUGCUGCUGGCUUUUCAGUCAGAGGGUUGGGGGCUGGCCAGCCAAGCUGCCUUGCCCUGGCCGCUCUUACUCCCUCCCUCUGCUGUCUCACUUCAGGUCCAUGUAUUUCACUUUUCUUAAAUAAAAGAAUCAGGUAACCUUUC